rnacentral:lncRNA from 1 species
UAGGGUUUCAUGUUAUUUUUGAUGUUCCAAUCAGCCCCAUUCAACCCUUAAAAUCUCUUUUAAAUUGCCUAAAGUAGACCUAGAGCUACCACCGUUGGUGAUUUUUACCACCAUUAGAUCCCCUUGGUUGGUUGCCAUUUUUGAGCCUUUAAUUGUUGUUUUGUGCUGAUGUUUCUAGCCUUCUUUUCCUUUAUUUUUCA